rnacentral:rRNA from 1 species
GAUGAACGCUGGCGGCGUGCCUAAUACAUGCAAGUCGAGCGAACAGACGAGGAGCUUGCUCCUCUGAUGUUAGCGGCGGACGGGUGAGUAACACGUGGAUAACCUACCUAUAAGACUGGGAUAACUUCGGGAAACCGGAGCUAAUGCCGGAUAACAUGUUGAACCGCAUGGUUCAACAGUGAAAGACGGUCUUGCUGUCACUUAUAGAUGGAUCCGCGCCGCAUUAGCUAGUUGGUAAGGUAACGGCUUACCAAGGCAACGAUGCGUAGCCGACCUGAGAGGGUGAUCGGCCACACUGGAACUGAGACACGGUCCAGACUCCUACGGGAGGCAGCAGUAGGGAAUCUUCCGCAAUGGGCGAAAGCCUGACGGAGCAACGCCGCGUGAGUGAAGAAGGUCUUCGGAUCGUAAAACUCUGUUAUUAGGGAAGAACAAAUGUGUAAGUAACUAUGCACGUCUUGACGGUACCUAAUCAGAAAGCCACGGCUAACUACGUG